CGACCCCCCUGCAGACAGCCCAGCGCCCACCGGUGCCUCCCGAGCGCCGUCCCGGAGCCGGCUCCCCGGCGGCAGGCGGCGGGGCAGGGCGCGGGGCUGCUUACCCGCUCUCCUCCUCCUCGAGCUCCGAGAUGUCCACGAAGAUGAGGAAGCCCACGAGCAGGAUCCCAAGUGAUGCCAGAAGAAUGACGUCAGAACUUCCAGCCAGGACCUGCCCAUCAAAAGCCAAUCAUCUAGGUUUGAAGACAGAAGAACAGCUUGGGAUGCUGGAGGGUUCUGAUUCAGACCAUGUGGCAGUAGAGAACGAAUGGGAGAGGUGGUCUGUUGACAUCACCCCUUUAUGCCCUUGGUUUGGAGCAUGAGGAGGAGAAGAACACAGGCCAGACCAAUGGACAUUGCUAGCAAGAAUCCUAUGGUCUCAGAUGCAAGGAGCUCAUGCAUACUCCACAGUGUUACACACAUAAAAAUCAGCACUUGAAGAAGAACUAGGGAAUCCACACAUUACAAUUACUUUGACUUCAACUAUAAACCGUACAUCCUUAUCUAAGGGCCUGACCCUGCUUUCCCUGUGCACCCAAAACUCCCAUUGAAGUCAACUAUGGCAUUUUUCAAAUAAAAACUCCUUUAGUUUUUAGAAUUUCAGGACAUGGGAACCCACAUAAUACCAAACUAACAAAAAAGCUUGGAUGAAACAAACCACUAGAUCUCACGUAGACCUUCUCACCAGAUCUCCAGCCCAGUUUUGCAAACUUGAUGUCCCAAUAACUAGACAAGUACUCAGAAAAAUCAAUGUAAAUGUCUUGAUCUCAGCGAGUCUGCACCAGAGCUGGAUUUGAUGCCUGGACUUUGCAUUCAGUCAAACUCAUGAACCUUAUGAGGUUCACGCAUUCCUAGUGGGAAAAAAAAUCUCCAUUUAUACAUGGAAAUAUAGUGAUCAAUCAACUUUUAUCGCUCCAGCUUUCAUUAUAGCAGCUUAGAACAACAGAAUAAAAGCACGUAAUGAAAACAUUGUAAAAAUGUAAUAAAAACACACAAUACUUGACUGUGCAAGCAUUGCUGUUUUAGCACAUCUUGGGGAACUGCACAGGAGAGAGCAGUCCAGUCUUCUGGUGUGCUGCCAGUAACCUCCAUAACAUACAUCACACUUUUUCCACUCCGGGAAUUGUGCUGAUUUAAACCACAGAAGUUAUAGGAGACCUUCAAAAUGUUUAGAUUCAGCAAAUACCUAAAAGGUCUCUGGAUGGGUUUUGUCGUCUUGGCUACGGAAAAGUUGGGUGGGAAAAUCGCUUGAGAACAGCCUUUCUCGUUGUACCAUGGAGCUUCCUGGAAAUAGCAAGGAGAGAAAAGACAGGUUCAGUUUGGGAUUUGGAGGAAAGUUAGGGGAUGUGUGGGUAGGCAUGAUGGUCUUAAACAAUUUGACCUACCCAGACCCAUCUCUAAUUUAAACUUUUUGGACCAGAUUCAUCUUAGAUAUAAAUAGACUCAACUCCCAAAGUACCUGCCAAGGCCGGAUUUGGCUCUUCGUGGCUGGCUAGUAUCGCAAAGGUGCCACCCUCUUUGCUUUCAAGAGAUUAUUUCAUCUAAUCUAAUCCAGUCCAUGAAGCACUAUGGUAUAUGAGCACCUAACGAUCUCUUCCCCAGCUCUCAUUAUUAUAAUAUUCUGGCUCCAGAAUUAAUCCUUUCCCUCAUACAUUUUCAGUUUGAAAAAAAAAAGUGGGAAAUAUCUCCCAGGAUGGGAAGAUCUCAUUAGUUUCCCCUGCCCCCGUGUGGUAUGUUCAUACCCAUGUCUCUUUUCACAGUGAUAAAUAAAUCUAUGCAGCGAUUUUACUGUGA